GGCCAGACUCCUACGGGAGGCAGCAGUGGGGAAUAUUGCACAAUGGGGGAAACCCUGAUGCAGCGACGCCGCGUGAAGGAAGAAGUAUUUCGGUAUGUAAACUUCUAUCAGCAGGGAAGAAAAUGACGGUACCUGACUAAGAAGCCCCGGCUAACUACGUGCCAGCAGCCGCGGUAAUACGUAGGGGGCAAGCGUUAUCCGGAUUUACUGGGUGUAAAGGGAGCGUAGGCGGUUUAGCAAGUCAGAUGUGAAAGCCCGGGGCUCAACCCCGGGACUGCAUUUGAAACUGUCAGGCUGGAGUGCAGGAGAGGUAAGUGGAAUUCCUGGUGUAGCGGUGAAAUGCGUAGAUAUUAGGAGGAACACCAGUGGCGAAGGCGGCUUACUGGACUGUAACUGACGUUGAGGCUCGAAAGCGUGGGGAGCAAACAGGAUUAGAUCCCCUCGUA
rnacentral:rRNA from 1 species